ACAAUUAUUAUUGAGCUCUUCCCCUCCUUCACCGGGGGCGGUAGGUUCUCUAACACUUGUGUGCACUGUUUAUUGUCUCUCGGCGUUUGGAAGGGUUGGGUAUUCAGAGUUUCUGGGUGCCCUUUGGGGCUUUCACGGCCUUUUGACCUACCCCCUGAGCGCCAAUUUUUAAACUUGAUUUUAUAUAUACUAUAAGCCUUUAAUUUUAAAUUUAUAAUUUGAAAA
rnacentral:misc_RNA from 1 species